rnacentral:lncRNA from 1 species
UGGGAAGCUGAUCCCAGGGAAUUCCCUGCAGGGGAAUUGGGGAUUCUCCAGGCCCNNNNNNNNNNUCCCGUGACCGUUCCCGUUCCACCCCGUGACCGUUCCCGUUCCAUCCCGGACCGUUCCCGCGGAAUUCCCGGACCGUUCCCGCGGAAUUCCCGGACCGUUCCCCGGAAUUCCGUGACCGUCGGCGCCGUUGCUCCGCAGGCGGCGCUGGAGCGCUCCAAGCGGGCGGCGCUGGCCGUGGCCCGGAGCAUCCUCAACAACCAAAGCAUCGGCUCCAAACUGCGGCGCUUCCUCAGGGGGGAAAAUCCCUUCACAGAUGAUCCCGAGGAAAAGGAGGAGCAGGAGGAAGGGGAAGGAGCAGGGGAGGAAAAUCUGGAAAAUCCUACGGAAAACCUGGAAAAUCCCACGGAAAAUCCCACAGAAAACCUGGAAAAUCCUAUGGAAAAUCCCCAAAAUCCUGAAAACCCCACGGAAAACCUGGAAAAUCCCACGGAAAACCUGGAAAAUCCCACAGAAAACCUGGAAAAUCCCCAAAAUCCAGAGGGAAAUCCAGAAAAUCUCACAGAAAACACGGAAAAUCCCCAAAAUUUGGAAAAUGCCCCGGAAAACCCUGAAAAUCCAGAGGAACAUCCUGAAAAUCCCACAGAAAACCCCAAAAAUCUGGAAAAUCCCACGGAAAAUCCCAAAAAUCUCACGGAAAAUCUGGAGAAUCCCAUGAAAAAUCCCCAAAAUCCUGAGGAAGAUCCUGGAAAUCCCAUGGAAAAUCCCCAAAAUCUCAAGGAAAAUCCCGAAAAUCCAGAGGAAAAUCCCAGAAAUUCGGCGGAUCCCGAGGAAAAGCCGGAAAAUCCGGAGGAAAAUUCCCCAAAUCCCGAGGAAAAUUCCCCAAAUCCUGAGGAAUUCCUGGAGCAGCGCCCAGAGGGAAAUUCCGGAACGUUCCAGGAGUGAAAAAUUCUGGAAUGUUCCA